UACGUAGGGACCAAGCGUUGUUCGGAUUUACUGGGCGUAAAGGGCGCGUAGGCGGCAAUUCAAGUCAUCUGUGAAAUCUCCGGGCUUAACUCGGAACGGUCAGAUGAUACUGCUUUGCUAGAGUACAGAAGGGGCAAUCGGAAUUCUUGGUGUAGCGGUGAAAUGCGUAGAUAUCAAGAGGAACACCUGAGGUGAAGACGGGUUGCUGGGCUGAUACUGACGCUGAGGCGCGAAAGCUAGGGUAGCAAACGGGAUAGAAAC
rnacentral:rRNA from 1 species